GAUGAACGCUGGCGGCGUGCCUAAUACAUGCAAGUCGAGCGAACAGAUGAGGAGCUUGCUCCUCUGACGUUAGCGGCGGACGGGUGAGUAACACGUGGAUAACCUACCUAUAAGACUGGGAUAACUUCGGGAAACCGGAGCUAAUACCGGAUAAUAUAUUGAACCGCAUGGUUCAAUAGUGAAAGACGGUUUUGCUGUCACUUAUAGAUGGAUCCGCGCCGCAUUAGCUAGUUGGUAAGGUAACGGCUUACCAAGGCGACGAUGCGUAGCCGACCUGAGAGGGGGAUCGGCCACACGGGAACUGAGACACGGUCCAGACUCCUACGGGAGGCAGCAGUAGGGAAUCUUCCGCAAUGGGCGAAAGCCUGACGGAGCAACGCCGCGUGAGUGAUGAAGGUCUUCGGAUCGUAAAACUCUGUUAUUAGGGAAGAACAAAUGUGUAAGUAACUAUGCACGUCUUGACGGUACCUAAGCAGAAAGCCACGGCUAACUACGU
rnacentral:rRNA from 1 species